CAUAACUGCAUUUAUUUCCAUAAUCCCCCAUUUGAAUGGCCUUUUCUUUUUGCUUAGACAAUGCCUACGCCUAGCCACAGCAGCUCCCUCAUACAGACUCCGCAAGCCACGAGGCCGUGGAGGCAAAUGCAGGCAGCCAGCACACCUCGAACAGCCACCUUGACUGCGGGUGUGUCACCCUAGUCGCCAAGGAAACAUUUGAGGGAAAGCGACAGGUAAUGUGAACAGCUACUUCUCCAUGUAAACGAUACUCUUUCUCUCGGAUGACUCCUACGCCUCGCCAUGCCAGCACACUUGUGCACAAAGUUGCUGCGGAGGCACGUGCAGGUCAGAGGCAAGAAGCAGUGGCACUGGUGUCGACAUUCACCCAAUUUCUUUUUCUUACACUGAGGCAGCCAGCACACCUCAAACAGCCACCUUGACUGCGGGUGCGUCAGUAGAUUCCUGUUGUACAUAUGCUCAUAAUAAAAUUCAGUAAACUUGAACUUGAUAAUAAACUUGAAGGCAAAUGGGA